UUUUAUGGAGAGUUUGAUCCUGGCUCAGAGUGAACGCUGGCGGCGUGCCUAAUACAUGCAAGUCGAACGAUGAAGCUUUUAGCUUGCUAGAAGUGGAUUAGUGGCGCACGGGUGAGUAAGGUAUAGUUAAUCUGCCCUACACAAGAGGACAACAGUU
rnacentral:rRNA from 1 species